AGGACGAACGCUGGCGGCGUGCUUAACACAUGCAAGUCGAGCGGUAAGGCCCUUUCGGGGGUACACGAGCGGCGAACGGGUGAGUAACACGUGGGUGACCUGUCCCUCAGCUCUGGGAUAAGCCCUGGGAAACUGGGUCUAAUACUGGAUAUCGACCUCCACGGUGCAUGUCGUGGGGUGGAAAGCCUUGUGCGGCUGAGGAUGGGCCCGCGGCCUAU
rnacentral:rRNA from 1 species